CAGAUAAGCCGCGGCCAUUGUGAGUCGCAUGCAAAAACUACACGGAUCACUCCAUUGUGUCUUCUCCGUGGCGUAAAUCUCUCUUGCUCUUGAAAAGCGCACGCUGAGGCCACGCUUGCAGCGUCGUCUUGUCUAUAUCGCUUCUCUCAUGUUCGGCUAGCGUCGCGCUGAAUACCGAAGUUAUGAACUCGUCACCUGCAGUGGAUGAGAGCAAAGCCCACUUUAAUUCGUCUGUUCUUUGACGUUCGGCCCACCGCCUAAAAGGAACGCCACGAGUAAUGACUGAUUCCAUUAUGGAGCAGAACAGCUCAUUAUCCAUUAUAAUGUUCAUAUAGGAAAGCGGCAGAGGUUAUCUACAAUUCCACGUUGCACAAGUUGUGCGAUUCGGCACUGUAUUGUGCUUCAAAUUUCGAGUCAGGAGUUGAUGAAGAGAACGGCUUGACCAACAAUUCCUCUACCAUCCAAACAAGUCUUUGUCGUGUCCACUGGCAUAGCAGUCCUACUGCAACUUUCACCUGGCAUCUGGAACCUACUAGUCUUCUGCUUCGGAGUCGAAAGAAUGGCUGAUUUACAAUAAGCUGAGCUGCACCCCCAAUAUAUCCUCACAAACAAAUCCAAUGUGCUAUCUCUUCAUUAUAACCUCCCGUACUCGUGCAGCGCGGUAUAACCUGUAUGCUUAUGUUGUUUUAAAGUAAAGUGACCAGAGUUAGGCGGGUAAAGUCCCCGGCUUUUUCAGUUGUGGUCCCGCUGUCCCACCAGCCUGCCCGUGGGACGGCGUUCUGUCUGCUUCGGUUGCAACGAACGCCGAAUGGACGAAAGAUUGGGCUGAACAACAAAAGCGCUUUCGACUUCUAUGUGGCCCUUUAUCGGCUCGCAUCUUUCCUCAACUAUACCUCAACCUUGCCAAUAAAACUGCUUAGCAUUCUGGCUAACGAGCCACUCCCAUGGUGAAAAUUCUGUGAAAACCAAAGCUCGCUCGCGGACGCUUUGCUCAUCAAGCUGCCUCGGUGGGAGCACGGUCUUGGUUUCGCCGACGAUCGUGCCCAAUGGAAGUGCAAGUGCAGCGAAGAGUUCCGAUCGAGUUUCCUUUCGUAUCUGCAAGUUUGACAACGCACUAAAGGAAAUGCACUGAAAGAAUAGCUAUAAAAAAGCAAGCGAGCUGGUGACUAGAAUACAUGUCAGUAAAACUCCGAGACUAGGGGCGACAAGAACAAACACACGUAGACGAAGUCUCUAACACAACUGUGUUUGAGACUUUGUCUGUGUGGGUGUCUGUUCUCAUCAUUCCUAGUAUCCGGGUUUUACCUUCACAUAUAACGAAAAUACGUUCUAGUCAAGUAUACGAAUGGGUGCUGAAAAGUUAUCGGCCCGACAAAGAAGAACGCGGCCUAGUGCCAUGAACAUUUACUACAUAUCCACAUAUUGACCUGGUAGCUCUACGCAUUUGGCACAUCGUCCCUGAAGCUUCUUUAACCAUUGAAAAAUGAAAUAUGACGUCUAUUCUCCGAAAUAUGCUUCGGCUCCUCUGAUCACCUCCGAGUCCUCCGAGAAUCUCUUUCCUUUCUGACUUUUUUUUUUUUUUUUUCAAGUUUGGGAAACACAAAAUAGUCAGUACGGCGAAUGUUCAAUGCAUUGGAAUCGCAAGUCCCUCAGAACCUGUAUUGUUUUGCAGCUUUGUGAGCUGGUACAUUGUAAAGGAGAACGCCUUUCCGUAGCUUCCCGCGCCGCUUUUCUGGCAGAGCAAGCUACAGUAGUACGCUGUUUCACCCUUCCGGAGAGAGUCAGUCAUCAAAACACUUUGCAUGUUCCAGAAAAGUGUGGCCAUGACCUUUAUCGCUGAUCGUUGAGUCUUGAAUUCCUUCGGCCUCGGAGAACCCAAGUGCCGCCAUUCCAUGGACUUUUGUUGAUGUAGUUGUAGUGAUGCAACCAUGUUUCAUCAACUAUAAGCAGCUCAAGAUAAGUAUCACUAGAACGCGCGACAUGCUCCAAAAUCAACUUGGAGGUAUCCAUUCGGUGUUGUUUCUCAUCAGCAUUCAAACAUUUGGGCACCAAUUUGGCUGACAGCUUCUGCAUACCCAACUCUGAACGUAAAUUAUAAACGCAGUGCGUUCUCUGGAUAUGUCCAAGGUCCCCGCAAUUGUUUUAGCCGAGAUUCGCCGAUCUGCUAAAAUGAGGUCAUGGAUACAAUCAACAAUUUUGGUGUUGACACCGUUGGGGGUCUCCCUGAUCUUCCGGCGUCUUCGGCGUCAAAACCCCACCGGUGAAAGUUGACACACAUCUCCUUCACAGUUGAGUAUGAUGGGCUCUCGUCAUUUAAUGUUUGCAUCGUGCAUUCAUAAAUUUCCCUUGGAGUUUUCUUCUGCAUGAACAGGAACUUCAUGACAGCCCGAAGUUCAACCUUUGAAAAUUUCACGCUCGCAGUAGACGUGGUCUUGUUGAUAGCCCGAGUACACGUGAAAGUUUAGCGUUACAAGCCUUCAAUUUUUCUUCUUCUUCGCCUCGCUCUUUGUGUAUGCAAUGACGAGAUCGCGUUUGUAUAUCUGGAAGUGGGUCGGGCCGAGAACUUUUAAGCACGCCCUCGUAUAGUCGAAGUACUUCAUAUGCGCACUAGCUAGUACGUAAAACGCAACGAAAAAAGAAACAUAAAAUAACAACACAGGGUGUGGGCGAAACACUGAGUCUGGUUUGUCGACUGACUGCACCCACCCCCCAUACAUUUCAAUCCGGAUGUCCCGCAUUAGUGUCGGACGAAUAUGGUCACUUUAUUUUAGAGUGCUUGCCCAUCUAUGAUUAUUGUUCCUUUUGAUGGAAAUGUCAUGUACUUUGCCAAUGUCUCAGUUAUGUGGCUACAUUUUCGUGGCUAUGGCUUUCAAAAUAAAAUAAAAUGUGUACAUUAAUAAAUUUGCAGUUUCAUGCGUUUUAAUUUGCUUUCUUUUAUCAUCUCUGUUCCUUUUUGCGACACAAUAGAUAACGAGCGUGACACAAUCACCAGUCCCGUAGCCCGCAAAGGUCGCACGCUUUUUCAUGGAUUUCGACAGCGUACACGUUCGACAGCGACAGCACACGUUCUGCGGUGUCUCCCUUUGCAGCUUACCCUGAUAGAGCUCUCAUAAUACUACCUAGAAACCAAGGCAGUGACCAUUCGAGCUACCGAGCCGCCAUAAUAGGCAGGGCAAUCCUCAUGUGGUACGAGCGUCAUCGCUACUUGCCCCCUGCAAGUUCUACUGUCUACUCUCUAACAGCGCAUGACACCAAUGACAGAUCCCAGU